GGGAAAGCGGGAGGAACUGUUGCUGGGGAGCCACGGAGACUGGAGAGACUCUGAGAACUGUGUGGAAUCCUUGGGGCAGUGUGGUUCCACUUCCUCCGAACUGGUCUCUGGAGCUGGGAGGAGACUUGGGCUGUUUCCAGACAGGAGACAGGCGCUUUUUCUCUCAGAUGCUGCUGGGCCCUCUCUCCUACGAGCGGUUCCCCAGCUCACAGGCCUCAGAAGGGAAGCUGCACUCACAAGUAAAACCUGCUGUGAGGAAUAAAGAAGCUCGUGACAACUCAACCCUUCCCAGGGAUGUUUGUGUUCAUCUAGGGACCAGAGUUUUAAUUUUGGAAUCUGAAGAGGAGAGUCCUUUCCAGGAUUAAACUGUCCUGACGUCUGUUUUCUUUCAUCGGACUCAGAGGGUCACUUCUGCCCGCACCUGGGAGGAAUAAUUGAUCAGAGUAGAGGGCAGAUGAUAAGAAAGAAUGUUAUGGGACGAUGACCUUGAGGAACCUGUCCUGGAAUCACCUGAUGCCAGCCCUAAUGAUCUCAAUGCCCCCAGGAGGAGAAAAAUGCAAGACUGCAUCAACCCUGAUCCUUACCUUCAGCCCCAUUUUCCAUCCUAAAACUGUAAGACCUCUUCCAGCUUCCCAGGAAGGGAGGUACAGUCUUGAAAGCAUUAACUUGCUGUGGUCCCCCUUUCGCCUGACAAAGUAAUAAAGCUACUCCUUUCUA